GAAUUUAGUUGCCUGUGGUACCUUGUUGUAGUAAAUUAGAGCUAACUGGUGGGACGUGGCUACUGCUCUCUCUCACACACACACACACAAUCAUCAUCUCUGUGAAUCUCCAGGAGGAUCUGGGAGAUUUUCUACAAGCAAGAAGGAAACCAGGUGCACACGUCCUCCAGAACCGUUCUUCUUUCCUGCUGAAGACUAAGAUGGCCACUUGCGGGUCAUGUUUCUGGUGCAUCAUAUGGCUCAUUGUUCUGCUGUUCAUUGGCUGGCCCAUCAGCAUCGCUUUAGGGGGUCUCUACGGCCUCAUCAGCCCCCUCACCACCUGCCUUGGCCUGGACCGACUGUCUGACUUACUCCUGGAGGGAGCUAAUGUGGGCAGAACCUGUGCCAAUAACAUGAGGCACAGCAAGCCUUUGUGUUGAAAUCCAUCCUGUCUGAUCAGGACCAGAAAAAACAGAGGUCGAAGCCUUCACCUCAGGAAGAACUGUUAAUGUCUGAUUUAUGUGGAGCUAUUCCAGCACGACUGGUGCACAAUUCCCUGAGAAACCUUCCAGCAACUUAUGUCACAAUAAGGUCCAGAAAGUCCUGGAAAAUUGAUUCCUCUCUCACUGGUAACAUGUAAUUAAUCACAGAUUUUAAAUUUGCAUGGGUUUGUCAGGAAGAAAAUAGGCUUGCAGUUCAUGGUCUGUGUUUGCUGUUUAAUUCACAAUGACGCUGCGUGGAGACGAUAAGAACGAAAAUGCCAAUUUAACAAUGAAAAUAUUUAGACUUGGUAAUGUCUGUAUGGAAAUAUAUGGAAAUGCGAUUAAAACUGCUUUGAACUUGC